CUUCUUCGGAAGGGAGCUCAUCCUGCCCAGCUGCUCUGCCCAAGGGCUGUGACACAGUCCCACCUCAGCUGAUCUCACUGGUUGGGGCAUGAAGAGAUGCAGAGCAGCCCUGCCGAGAAGGACUUGAUGUUGCAGCCAGAUGAGAGGCUGGAGAUGAGCCAGCCAUGUGCUUCCAAAGGAGAGUGCCCAGCAGGUUGAAGGAGGUGAUUCCACCUCUCUGCUCAGCUGAACCUGCUGGUGAAGGUGGUGCAGCUUCCCAAGCCACGUCCAGGACUGAGGCUGUGGGAGAUGCUGAGGGUGUGUCUGCAGGGAGGACUUCUCCAGCUCCUUUGCUGAUUCCUACACAGAAGCCUGGCAACCAUUGCAGAGGUCCUCCGAGGGGAAAGAACAAAGCUACAGGACACCAGAAACCCCAUGAGCCAUCCGAAAACAUGAGGCAAAUGCUGAAGGAAAUGCAGCAGGCAGGAGAAGAAGUGGAUGCAGAGGCUGGGCAUAAGGCGGCGUUUCCCAGAGGAAGCAGUGGUUCCAUGCCAGCCUCUGCUGCAGGAAGGGAGGCAAUGCCAGGCAUAGGCCCAGGAG